AACCAAUGAAAAACAGCAGUCGGAUCUGUAUUACACCUGAAAAAUCCCAUCUCGACUGCGCUGGAAGGCUUUUCAGAUCAGCACACAAUGGACUCUGAGAUGCUGAGAUUCCACUUCCUCUCAGCGUUAGCGCCAGCACUGUGCUUGCUUGGAAAUGUUGAUUUUCUUGCAGAGAUCACUGCAUCUAUCUCAGGAUAAGCACUCACUUAUGAGACGUGUAUAGGAAAGCUGUCCCCAUAUCUCAGUCUUUCUGUAGAUUUCACAGGGUAUAAAAGCCUCUUAUUCCUUGUAUUCAUCACCAAGAACAGAAGCUUUGGAUUCUUUGAUUCCGGUAAACUACCAUUUAUUAGACGCAUUAAAUGAAAGACAGUCAAAAGGAGAAUGCAACAGAAAACUCCAGCACUGGAAAGCCUGCUUCUACCUUGCUUUUCUCAUCACUAGCACAAACAGCCUUUCAGAACAUCAAAGGAAGCACUGCUAUAUAAUAAGGCACAUUGCAGUCAGUGAGAUACGGGCGGAUGUAAACGCAGCUAAAUAGGAAGAUAUGUAUUUAGAGAUAAGUUACAUCUCGGAAUUCAAAUCCCCAUUUAUCACCUCUGAUAAGUUACUCAUGCAUUUAAAGUCAGGACAUGGUGUGUGUGUCUGCCUCUCUCCCCCAAGAGAUGCACACACUCCGUGGUACUGAAUCAACAUUUUCAGUCCCAGGGAAGGCUGCUACCGAGGCAGGGUAAGCUGGCCCUGUGGGGGCUGACGGGGGACCUCCAGAGCUACGACAUCCCAUGUGGACAGAGCACCAGACAAUCAGCGGUUGGCUUUGUUGGUCUGUGGAUGGAAACCAAGGCUACACGGUGCUCACACCUCUAAUUCUGGUUGGGGUUGCCAUGCCCCUACAGAGCUGGCAGGAUGCGAGGAAAAGAUUGAUGCAAUUUUUCACCGUGGGGUACCAUAGGAGAAAAAUGCCAGGACCUCAGCCGAGGGCUCCAAGACAUGCAAUCCCCUUGCAUGUCCCAGGAAUACAAGUCACCCCAGCUGCUGCUACCGUAGGCAAGAGGAACCUUUCUCCUUCACCUCCUGGCAAGGCACAGCAGGAAUCCACGCAGAGAUGACUACGGCCCCUGGAAAACCUCUCACCCGUGUGGGACUGGGUCCACACGCGGUAGGAACUACGCUGUGCCCUACUGCACGCACAGGCAUUUCGGCUGCAGUAAGGAGAAGGUGGGUGCCGGGAACGAGAGGGUGGAUGGACUGCUACCUAAAGCCUUUCUGUGAUCGGUGAAGGCAGAGCUGCCACUACCGAUGAGCUGCUGCAGGAGCUCUUCCACUUCCAGACGUCACCCUUGGCCAGCUGAGACCGGCUCCUCCGGGGACAUCAAGGGCCCCGUGGGCAUGUCCCUGAUGCACCACUUCUCCAGGAAUGUUCUGCUCCGGCAGAGCUUGCCCAAAGGGUUGUUCUCCCCUUCUGCACCUUUUCAGAUCAGCCCUCAGAACCGAAUGCGCCCAGCUCCGUAGCUUCUGCGAGCACACAAACACACGCAAGUUGGGCUCUGUAAUUUGCUGCGCACACAAGUCAGAAAGAUGGAUGGUUAGCUGCCUACAUGAUGGUUUCUAGAUAUCCCUGUCGUGUCCCUUAAUCAUACACUAUAUCAAACAAACAGUCCACAUUGUUGGUACGACCGUGGCAAUGUCUGACUGAUUCUCCCCCUUCAUAAACCAGAGCGUUAUCUCUUCCCAUCUGCAAACAUAAAAAUCCCACAGUGUUAUUACACAAGUGAUGCCAUCGUAAAAUUCUCCCCACGCCUUCCUCACCUCUCCCUUUCAUUUUUACGUUACCAUCAAUCGGGCUGAGACUUUCUACCUCUUCUGCAGCCUCUUGCCAUUCCCUCUGCCCCCUCUCCGGAGGGCUGACAGAGUAGGGGGGCACCUUGGGCUCUUCAUUUUUAAUUUCAACGCUGGGGGUUAUCCCCCUGGCAUGUUGGCUGGGGUAGGCACUGCCCCCCUCCCCAUCUUCGCAAUGUGUUUCCUCUUAGUCUCUCUGCACCCACUAUAAAUCAGGGAGCUACAACAUUUUUUAUUUGGAGCAUCUGCUGGAACAGCAAUUAAUCACUG
ensembl:lncRNA